GGUAUCAUUGUGAUGCCAGAGGUGCUGAUUGCCAGGCAUGUGCAGUUGGAAUGCUGGCUUCAACUUCAGGGUGCUGGGCUCUUGGAGGAUUGAGUGACAAGAGGACCCAUGGGAGAGGUGACAGGAGGUGGGGAGGGCGCAUGUACCUUCCUCUCCUCAGGUCCCUGAGAACCCAGAUCUCUGGGUUGCUGCUGCUGCCACAGUCGCCUCCCCACCUCCACUGCCAUUUCUACUUCUGCUGCUUGUGUCUGAUGAAUGGCUGAACGGAUGCAUGGAUGAAAGCACCAAAUGAGAAGAAAGAAUGGUUUUGGAUCCUGAGGAUAGACCACAGCCAUGCACAGCUGGGCUGACCAAGCAGGAUCUGAAGCCUCUGACCUCACCAUGGGACUAUUAUCAAAAGGAGAGAAAUCCCUUUUCGAGGAUGGGAUGGACUCAGCUGAGACUGGAUGGCCAAUUCAUCACUGAGCCACUUGCUGCUUAGCUGUCCAUUUUCACCUUCCAGUGCUUCCUAUUCUGGCUUCCUUUCUUUCGAUUGGGAAGUAGCUCCCCAGGAUGGUGGGAUAUGUGUGGUGUCGUCCAGUGGAGGGGUGCUCCUUGGAAUGUACCCUCUCACUCUUUUUUCUUCUUUUCACCCAGUCUACAAGCGUCCAAGACCUUGGAUUGGCAACUGGACUGGAAUAACACAGCCAAGGUGGAAGAUUCCUAAGUGGCGCCUAAGAAGAAAACAUUUGUUAGUGACUCAAUUGGAUUUAUUUAGAAAAUAA
rnacentral:lncRNA from 1 species